rnacentral:rRNA from 1 species
CAUUAUUGAAUAAACUUGGUUGGGUUGUUGCUAGCUCUUCGGGGCAUGUGCACACCUAACACCCAACUUUUUAUAAACCACCUGUGCACUUUUUGUAGACUUGGAAAAUACCUCUCGAGGAAACUCGGUUUGAGGGACUGCUGUGCGUAAGCCAGCUUCCCUUGCACUUUUCCAGUCUAUGUUUUUAUAUAUAUAUACACCCCGUAUGUUUCAGAAUGUCAUUUUUAAUGGGCUUAACUGCCCUUUAAACCUUUAUACAACUUUCAACAACGGAUCUCUUGGCUCUCGCAUCGAUGAAGAACGCAGCGAAAUGCGAUAAGUAAUGUGAAUUGCAGAAUUCAGUGAAUCAUCGAAUCUUUGAACGCACCUUGCGCUCCUUGGUAUUCCGAGGAGCAUGUCUGUUUGAGUGUCAUGAAAUUCUCAACCUUUUCAGCCUUUUUAUUGGUUGAUCAGGCUUGGAUGUGGGUGUUUGCGGGCUUCUAAGAAGUCGGCUCUCCUUAAAUUCAUUAGCGGGACCUUUGUCGCCCAGCCCUAGUGUGAUAAUUAUCUACUCUAUCGCUGAAAAGUGACUUUGAAAUUGGGUACAGCUUCUAAUAGUCUCUUUAUUGAGACAAAUUUAAAUGACAAUUUGACCUCAAAUCAGGUAGGACUACCCGCUGAACUUAAGCAUAUCA